UACGGAGGGGGUUAGCGUUGUUCGGAAUUACUGGGCGUAAAGCGCGCGUAGGCGGACUGGAAAGUUGGGGGUGAAAUCCCGGGGCUCAACCCCGGAACGGCCUCCAAAACUAUCAGUCUAGAGUUCGAGAGAGGUGAGUGGAAUUCCGAGUGUAGAGGUGAAAUUCGUAGAUAUUCGGAGGAACACCAGUGGCGAAGGAGGCUCACUGGCUCGAUACUGACGCUGAGGUGCGAAAGCGUGGGGAGCAAACAGG
rnacentral:rRNA from 1 species